CGGACGGGUGAGUAAUGUCUGGGAAACUGCCUGAUGGAGGGGGAUAACUACUGGAAACGGUAGCUAAUACCGCAUAACGUCGCAAGACCAAAGAGGGGACCUUCGGGCCUCUUGCCAUCGGAUGUGCCCAGAUGGGAUUAGCUAGUAGGUGGGGUAAAGGCUCACCUAGGCGACGAUCCCUAGCUGGUCUGAGAGGAUGACCAGCCACACUGGAACUGAGACACGGUCCAG
rnacentral:rRNA from 1 species